rnacentral:rRNA from 1 species
UACGUAGGGUGCAAGCGUUAAUCGGAAUUACUGGGCGUAAAGCGUGCGCAGGCGGUGAUGUAAGACAGAUGUGAAAUCCCCGGGCUCAACCUGGGAAUUGCGAUGGAGACUGCAAGGCUUGAAUCUGGCAGAGGGGGGUAGAAUUCCACGUGUAGCAGUGAAAUGCGUAGAGAUGUGGAGGAACACCGAUGGCGAAGGCAGCCCCCUGGGUCAAGAUUGACGCUCAUGCACGAAAGCGUGGGGAGCAAACAGG